GCCGGGUGUGGUGGCGCACACCUAUAAUCCCAGUGGCUGGGGAGGCUGAGGCAGGAGGAUCGAGAGUUCAAAGCCAGCCUCCGCAAUUUAGAGAGGCCCUAAGCAACUCAGAGAGACCCUGUCUCAA
rnacentral:sRNA from 1 species